CCCAGCCAAUCAAGAGGGUACUGGCUAGACGGUCGGAGGACCGUAUCUCCAUGGUAUUGCAGGCGAAGACCCUGGCUGCAAUCCCCGCAGUCCAUCAAGCCUCACCCGAUUGGAAGACUGGUUGGUGGGAACGGGAGGAGGCGCAGAAUCUACUUAAACUACCGACCACGUAAAGUCCACUCCAGCCCGCUAGACGCCGAGAGCGAGAGGCCACGCCAGAGAGGAGUUUCACAGCUACCAGCCCAGCAGUGACCAGGACCAUGAGAUGAUCCCACCAACUACUAUGCCAUUGCCAUGAGAGGAUGAGUCUAAGGAAGGCAGAGAAAAGGGCUUGUUCCCCAAGACCAUGGAGCUGUCUACAGAAGGGGUCUGCCUCAUAUACUGGAGGGAAGAGUGUUACACAGAGAGGCCAAGAAAAAUGCUGCAGCAGACAUGCCAUGCUCAAGUGUCCUUUCCUUCAGGAAGUCCUACUGAUUCCAAUCUGACAUCCCUCAGAGGGGCCUUAACAGAAGAAGAUAUCUGCCUCAGGAUCUAGAAAAUGCUGGCCCCAGGAGGUUGAGGUUCCCUUUGGUGUGAUGAAGAGGAAACAGAGACUAAAGACAUGAUACUCUUAGAAGAAGGUGACCCCCACCCAGCACAGGGAUUUCCUGCCUUUUAUUCCAUUAUACCUCCUUUUCUCCCCUCACAAAUGCUGUUCCCUCACUGACCUCCCGGCCUUCCCUUGGAGAUUUGAGAUAGAAAAUAUCUCUGCCUUCCUCAAGUCUGGCUUUGAAUAAACCUGUUUCCCUGCAUCAACCUCUGUUUUUUUUUUAACUUUGGUUAAGCAGUGAGCAGUAGAACCUUUGAUUCCAGUAACAAAAUGAUUGGGAUCUAUCUCAUGGUGCUGUUUUUGUAAAAAAGAGUUAAGAUCAGUGUGUCAUGCACCUGGUGAACUUGGGAGGAACCAAGUCUGGGCCUUUUUGUCACCAUGACCCAUUUCUUGGCUUUUGUUGUUGUUGUUGUUGCAGUGCUGGGGAAACCCAGGCUGGAAACCCGGGCUUUCACAUAUGCUAAUACUGAGCUACUUGCAGCCCCUUUUAUUUUUUCUUCCUUGAUGGUCACCUACCUAGUCCUGGGCACACAUGUUAAAUUGUUUUUAUUUUUGUUUUGAC